rnacentral:sRNA from 1 species
AAUCUAUCAAACCACACUUGUGAACCAACCAUGUUGGCCAUUCAUACAUGCAUCUUGUGUGUACGAAUCGGAUUGGGGGUUUGAAGCAAUUCAAACUUUCAGUCCGGCUGUCGUUGCAGGGUCUUUUCCCUCAGCGGCAUCGGCCUAUUUGCUAACCCAACACCAAACCUAACCUAAAUAAAAAUCGGACGCAAGGCUUAGAGCCUGUGUUCACACAACCAAAGACAACUCUCAACAACGGAUAUCUUGGCUCUCAGAUCGAUGAAGAACGCAGCGAAAUGCGAUACGUAGUGUGAAUUGCAGAAAUACGUGAAUCAUCGAAUCUUUGAACGCAAAUUGCGCUCGAGGCUUCGGCCAAGAGCAUGUCUGCCUCAGCGUCGGGUAAAACCUCGCUCAAAAACACACAGUGUGUCUAUGAGCGGACCUGACUGUCUCAGCACGGUGUCAAAGCUGUGCUGGGUCGGUUGAAGUUUGCAGCUGUUGGUACAUGGACCCGCUCAAUGGGCCUCUACUGGGUAGGCAACUCGUUUGCUCUAUGCUUUAGUAGACGGCUUAGGUUCUGUGUGAUGCCAGCACAAAGCAGGAAUGCGCCUUGUGUGCAUUAAAACCCUUUUCCGACCUGAGCUCAGGCAAGA